rnacentral:rRNA from 1 species
UACGUAGGGGGCAAGCGUUGUCCGGAUUAUUGGGCGUAAAGAGCGUGUAGGCGGCCAGGUAGGUGGGUUGUGAAAACUGGAGGCUCAACCUUCAGACGUCGACCCAAACCCCUGGCUAGAGUCCGGAAGAGGAGAGUGGAAUUCCUGGUGUAGCGGUGAAAUGCGCAGAUAUCAGGAAGAACACCCGUGGCGAAGGCGGCUCUCUGGGACGGUACUGACGCUGAGACGCGAAAGCGUGGGGAGCGAACAGG